rnacentral:rRNA from 1 species
UACGUAGGGGGCUAGCGUUGUCCGGAUUUAUUGGGCGUAAAGAGCGUGUAGGCGGCCUGGUAGGUCUGCUGUGAAAACUCGAGGCUCAACCUCGAGAUGUCGGCGGAAACCAUCUGGCUAGAGUCCGGAAGAGGAGAGUGGAAUUCCUGGUGUAGCGGUGAAAUGCGCAGAUAUCAGGAGGAACACCGAUGGCGAAGGCAGGUCUCUGGGCCACUACUGACGCUGAGAAGCGAAAGCAUGGGGAGCGAACAGG